CAUUAGAUGGCCGAAAGCUAAGCAAUGGAAUUUUAAAUCAUUAUAUAAUAUAGUAGCGUUAUAUUUCUAAUG
rnacentral:tRNA from 3 species